rnacentral:misc_RNA from 1 species
CCCCUACUGGCACUUAAACGUCGGAAGUGAAGUGUUUUGUAAACGAUGGGUAAUACCGAGAGUAAUGUUACGAGCGGCGUGAAGAAACAAACGGACACGUCGUCCAUCCUGCUCUAUAAAUUAGUCAACCUGAAUGGUGGCGGAUUGUUAGUGGAUAUGAUGAAGAGAGCAACGCAGACCAAACAGUACGCGGAAUUGGAUCACGCGAUGAGAACGAAGGUCGAGCCGUUUUUGUACAACAAGGGAAAGGGCAAAUGGAUACCUGUAGAAAAAUUAGUCCUCCUACGAAAUAAGGACCGUCCGCGGCAUAAAAUGCUGCCACCCUUGAAAGCCAUGGAGAAUCCAGCUGAUUACGAUAUCGAUAAGGACAUGGGCGACGAGGAAGUCGACGAAACCAAAAUAGAUAAAAGCAAAUAUAGGCUGGUGUGUUGGAAUUUGAGCGACAGAGGUGCCGUCGGCGAAACUAUUUUGCAUCUGUGCAUGUUGAACGCGACUGCCAUCCACGCUGAUUUGGCAAGACGACUGUUGCGUUUCUAUCCGCUGCUUAUAUACGACAUUUAUUUGUGCGACGAGUAUUACGGGGAGAAUGUCUUGCACAUCGCUAUCGUGAACGAGGAUCCGUCGAUGGUCAAGUUUCUUCUCGACAGCGGAGCGGACGAUCCGCUCAUUAUUCACGAGAGGUGUUGCGGCACCUUCAUGUGCCCGGAAGAUCAGAAGGCGUCGAGAUUUGACAGUUUAGAUCACGAGUGGGUGUGCGUCUCACCGGAAACCGAUUACAAUGGCUAUGUGUACUGGGGAGAGUAUCCGUUGAGUUUCGCCGCGUGUCUCGGUCAGGAAGAAUGUUACAGGCUUAUACUGGCCAGAGGCGCGGAUCCUGAUAAGCAGGACACGAAUGGCAACACCGUUAUGCAUAUGCUGGUGAUAUACGAGAAAGUGGCCACGUUCGAUAUGGCAUAUGAAGUAGGGGCUUCCCUCGACCUAAGAAACGUCCAACACUUGACUCCGUUGACCUUAGCUGCAAAAUUGGCCAAGAUCGAGAUAUUCUUUCACAUCCUGAACAUCGAGAGAGAGAUAUACUGGCAAAUCGGUAGCAUAACUUGCGCAGCCUACCCUUUAUCGCAAAUAGAUACGAUCGAUGUUAAUAUAGGAACAAUUAACAAGAACUCUGCCCUGAAUCUGGUUGUUUUUGGCGAAAAAGAUGAACAUUUAGAAUUGAUGGACGGUGUGCUAGUUGAUCUUCUAAACGCCAAAUGGAACACUUUUGUCAAAUCCCGGUACAUAAAAAAAUUUUACCGUCAGUUCUUUCUCUUCUGUUUCUACUUCGUGCUCUCGCUAAUCAGCUUCACCCUUCGCCCUGGCCCGUCGACCAUGGAAGAGGACGAAAACGCGAACGAUACGUCUACGAGAACAAAUUCUUCAAAUAUAACAGAACACGUGAUUCUCAAGUCCCUUCAAAGCGCAGAUCUAUCUGAAUUGGUUACGAAUAGCCUCGUCGCGGCUUUUACCUCAAAUUUCAAGUCAUCCUUAAACAUGACGCAGGAAUCAUUGGAGAAGAUCCAGCUGCAAAUAACGUCGAACAUCACGUUGGCCCUGAAGAGCAUUUUGCUCUUCGACAAUGAGGCCAUUCUAAGUCCUCCCGACGAGACCACCAUUCAUACGCUGUGGUAUAAUGAUAGUCCUUCAAAUACGUCGGACUAUUUCACGGAUAUGUAUAACAAAACCGUCGCAGCCAAUAAGAAUUCGACUACCAAGACGAUCAUUGACAACGUGCUAAAAUUUAAUCACGAGUUAUGGUGGGACGACAUCACUGAGGAGUGCAGGCUGAUGCAACUGACAGAAACAAGUGCGAAGAUUCGUCUAACUGCGGAAAUUUUUAUGUAUAUCGGCGCAGUGCUCUACAUCUUGGCCGCGUUGCGGGAGGCGCGAUUCUUAGGUCUCAAUAUGUUCAUCGAAAAUCUCGCGACGGCGCCGUCACGCGUGAUGUUUCUAUUCUCGUGCUGCAUCCUGCUGUCGUUCCCGUUUCUACGAUUUGUCUGCGCGGAUGAGGUCGAAGACAUACUGGCGGUGGUGGUGAUGCUGACCACGGCGCCGUACUUUCUGUUCUUCUGCCGGGGCUUCAAGACGGUUGGACCGUUCGUCGUGAUGAUUUACAGGAUGAUCAUGGGCGACCUCCUCAGAUUCGUCUCCAUCUACCUCGUCUUUGUUAUGGGGUUCUCCCAAGCGUACUACAUCAUAUUCCUGUCGUUCGACAAUCCAAACACACCGGAGGGCGUCGACGACUCAAUGACGAAUCCGAUGCCGUCGCCGAUGGAGAGCGUCAUGGCGAUGUUCCUGAUGAGCAUGACGAAUUUCGGAGAUUACUUCGGCGCGUUUGAAAGGACCGAGCACGAGUUCGAGGCCAAGCUGCUGUUCGUGAUGUACAUGGCGAUCGUGGCGAUCCUGCUCGUUAACAUGUUGAUCGCUAUGAUGGGUAACACUUACCAGAAGAUCGCUGAAACCAGGAAUGAAUGGCAACGUGGGCGCGCAUAGUUUUGGUUGUAGAGAGAGGCGUGAGUCCCGCUGAAAGACUAAAAAAGUUGAUGGACUAUUCUCAGCCCAUGUCCGACGGUCGUCGAGCGUUGGUUCUUCGAUUACAUCAAACUGAGGAGGACAAGGAGGAGAUGAAGGAGAUACUCGAGAUGAAGAGAACUCACGAUAGAUUGCUAAAGAAAAGACAAAAUAGGAUGUCAAAAGAAAAGAUUAUAUCUUAAGCAGGAAAGCCAUUAGAAGAAAUGAGCAUCUAGCUUAUCUCGAACUCUAUUUAUAUGUUUUAUUUCAAAUAAUUGUUAUUUAAUUUAUUCAGUAUUUCUAGUUACACAAAAUAAUUUUGUACGAAUUACAAGGAAAUAAAAAGAUUGCGAUGUAGCAAGUAUAAA